AGCUUCCGGAUGAGGAACCAAUUUAUAUUUCCGUCUCAGGUGAUGAAGAAGAAGUACCCAUCAAACCUCCUCCAAUUUAUCAUGUUCUAGAAGAUCUGAGACCCAAGGACGAAAGCGAGCAGGAGCCCCAAGACGCAAAUGAUGAAUAAUGUUAAAAAAUAAUUCUGCUUUUUUGGGGGACUACCUUAUUUUGUGCCCGCGUGGAAUUAGUAGAAUGCUUUUGUAGAGGUAGCUUUAUGGGUUUUAUAUAUCCCAAACUGUGGAGCCUGCCUAAAUAUUUGAACAUCUACCAGCUUUAAUCGUAUUGAUCAAGGUGCAAGUCAAAUGUUUAUCAGUUGUUAUAUACCAAGUGCUGAAGUGUUCACAUAAUCGUCUAGAACCGCCCUCAAGUGAUGUAGUUAUUUGCAUACGAGAAAGUAAUCUGCUAUGCUAGAUUUGUGGAUACUGUUCAUAUGAAGGAGCCACUAUCUGGGGGAUUCUAGUCUUGAAUGGACUCGAAAAUGUAUUCUUUAGUUCCAAACAGCUCUAAACUGGGAUAACUGAAAAUCCAAUCCACAGUGGAAUCUAGAUUUACUACGGCCACUAUUUCAAACUGUUCUUCAUGCGAAAUUAAUUGUGGGAGGGGAGCAUGAGUUUAGUUUGACGUACAACAAGUCAUCCGACGUUUUAGCUAAUUAGCUUUCAACAGAAGGGGGUGCUCUUUGAACGCUUUGUUAAGUUGUUGCAGUGCUAUACAUGUACUAGCCACUUGUAACAACGGGGUGGCAGUGACUGCCCACAAUAAGUUCUGAAUGCCUAUAAAUGAUUAUGAUAGCUGAAUAACUGUAACGAAGCUGUAACGAUUAACAAUUUCAACCAUGAAAGCAUUUCUAGGCUAUAAAUUAAGCUAUCUAUUUCAUUCAAUGUAAGGCAAUAAAGUCUAAAGAACUAAGAUUUCUAACUAUAAACGCUGGUCAUAUAUUGGUAUUUGGUAAACUCUUCCCCCCACCCCCCUUCCCCCUUUGUCAAUAUUUUGCAAAGUGUCCACUACCAGGCGUUCUUCUAUAUACUUUGUAAAGUUGAAAAAACGAAGUCAAUCGCAUUACAUUUGUAAACCAAAACUUAUAAUGAUAUAUGACAUACUGAUCAAUGUAUAAAAGAAUUGUAAAUAAUAAAUAAAUAAAUUGUAGUAAAUAGUGAAUAAUCUUAUUAGUAAUGGCGUAGAUAGGUUAGAAGACUUUGAAAAUAAAAGAUCAAAGUUUGUUUUUGUUGUUAUAGUGUUUAAUUGCCUCCUCUCCCGGCCCUGCAGGC